UGCCUUCGUAAGGAGGAGGAAGGUGUGGACGACGUCAAGUCAUCAUGGCCCUUAUGCCCAGGGCGACACACGUGCUACAAUGGCAUAUACAAUGAGACGCAAUACCGCGAGGUGGAGCAAAUCUAUAAAAUAUGUCCCAGUUCGGAUUGUUCUCUGCAACUCGAGAGCAUGAAGCCGGAAUCGCUAGUAAUCGUAGAUCAGCCAUGCUACGGUGAAUACGUUCCCGGGUCUUGUACUCACCGCCCGUCACACCAUGGGAGUUGAUUUCACUCGAAGCCGGAAUACUAAACUAGUUACCGUCCACAGUGGAAUCAGCGACUGGGGUGAAGUCGUAACAAGGUAACCGUAGGAGAACCUGCGGUUGGAUCACCUCCUUU
rnacentral:rRNA from 1 species